rnacentral:rRNA from 1 species
CCUACGGGGGGCUGCAGUGGGGAAUAUUGCACAAUGGGCGCAAGCCUGAUGCAGCCAUGCCGCGUGUAUGAAGAAGGCCUUCGGGUUGUAAAGUACUUUCAGCGGGGAGGAAGGGAGUAAAGUUAAUACCUUUGCUCAUUGACGUUACCCGCAGAAGAAGCACCGGCUAACUCCGUGCCAGCAGCCGCGGUAAUACGGAGGGUGCAAGCGUUAAUCGGAAUUACUGGGCGUAAAGCGCGCGUAGGUGGCCAAUUAAGUCAAAUGUGAAAUCCCCGAGCUUAACUUGGGAAUUGCAUUCGAUACUGGUUGGCUAGAGUAUGGGAGAGGAUGGUAGAAUUCCAGGUGUAGCGGUGAAAUGCGUAGAGAUCUGGAGGAAUACCGAUGGCGAAGGCAGCCAUCUGGCCUAAUACUGACACUGAGGUGCGAAAGCAUGGGGAGCA